ACGGCAUGUGUGACCAAUCAAAUGUCAGGUAUCUAAAUGAAUGAUUGGAUCACAGUGUUUGGGUUAUAAUAAAUAGACUGUAGCCACAUCACCCUGCAGCUCUCACCUGGUUACCCACUGAAGUUAGACAGGGUUGAGUCUGGUCAGAACCUGGUCAGUGAGGCCAGCAGGGGGCGCUCACCCUGUGGUCUGUGUGUGUCCUAAUGCCCCAGUUUAGUGAUGGGAUACUGUACUCUCAAAAGGUACGAGAGGUUAAACUAAGGUCCAGACUCGCUGUGUUCAUUAAAUAUACCAGGGUACUUCUCAAAGAUUACAUGGGAUGUUGUAGGUAAUGUGGGUGCAGUGAGGUGGGAUGUUGUAGGUAAUGUGGGUGCAGUGAGGUGGGAUGUUGUAGGUUAUGUGGGUGCAGUGUGGUGGGAUGUUGUAGGUUAUGUGGGUGCAGUGUGGUGGGGUGUUGUAGGUAAUGUGGGUGCAGUGUGGUGGGAUGUUGUAGGUAAUGUGG